rnacentral:tRNA from 1 species
GGAGGGUUGGCCGAGCGGUUGAAGGCGACAGUCUUGAAAACUGUAGUAGGGGCGACCUUACCGGGGGUUCGAAUCCCUCACCCUCCGCCA